UCAAAUUACGGAGCUUUCAAGG
rnacentral:sRNA from 1 species